UACGUAGGGUGCAAGCGUUGUCCGGAAUUAUUGGGCGUAAAGAGCUCGUAGGCGGUCUGUCGCGUCGGCUGUGAAAACCUGGGGCUUAACCCCGGGCCUGCAGCCGAUACGGGCAGACUAGAGUUCGGCAGGGGAGACUGGAAUUCCUGGUGUAGCGGUGAAAUGCGCAGAUAUCAGGAGGAACACCGGUGGCGAAGGCGGGUCUCUGGGCCGUAACUGACGCUGAGGAGCGAAAGCAUGGGGAGCGAACAGG
rnacentral:rRNA from 1 species